GACGAACGCUGGCGGCGUGCUUAACACAUGCAAGUCGAACGCUGAAGCCCUGGCUUUUGUUGGGUUGGAUGAGUGGCGAACGGGUGAGUAACACGUGAGUAACCUGCCCUCUUCUUUGGGAUAACGCCCGGAAACGGGUGCUAAUACUGGAUAUUCACUGAUCUUCGCAUGGGGGUUGGUGGAAAGGUUUGUUCUGGUGGGGGAUGGGCUCGCGGCCUAUCAGCUUGUUGGUGGGGUGAUGGCCUACCAAGGCUUUGACGGGUAGCCGGCCUGGGAGGGUGACCGGGCACAUUGGGACUGAGAUACGGCCCAGAGUGCGACGGGAGGCAGCAGUGGGGAAUAUUGCACAAUGGGCGAAAGCAUGAUGCAGCGACGCGGCGUGAGGGAUGGAGGCCUGCGGGUUGUAAACCUCUUUCGCUAAUGGUCAUGCCGCAACUGUGGGUUGUGGUGAGGGUAGUGGGUAAAGAAGCGCCGGCUAACUACGUG
rnacentral:rRNA from 1 species